rnacentral:rRNA from 1 species
AUAGAGAUUCCUACGGGAGGCAGCAGUGGGGAAUUUUCCGCAAUGGGCGAAAGCCUGACGGAGCAACGCCGCGUGAGGGAUGAAGGCCUCUGGGCUGUAAACCUCUUCUAUCAAGGAAGAAGAUCUGACGGUACUUGAUGAAUAAGCCACGGCUAAUUCCGUGCCAGCAGCCGCGGUAAUACGGGAGUGGCAAGCGUUAUCCGGAAUUAUUGGGCGUAAAGCGUCCGCAGGCGGCCCUUCAAGUCUGCUGUUAAAAAGUGGAGCUUAACUCCACCAUGGCAGUGGAAACUGUUGGGCUUGAGUGUGGUAGGGGCAGAGGGAAUUCCCGGUGUAGCGGUGAAAUGCGUAGAUAUCGGGAAGAACACCAGUGGCGAAGGCGCUCUGCUGGGCCAUCACUGACGCUCAUGGACGAAAGCCAGGGGAGCGAAAGGGAUUAGAUACCCCUGUAGUCCUGGCCGUAAACGAUGAACACUAGGUGUCGGGGGAAUCGACCCCCUCGGUGUCGUAGCCAACGCGUUAAGUGUUCCGCCUGGGGAGUACGCACGCAAGUGUGAAACUCAAAGGAAUUGACGGAAU